rnacentral:rRNA from 1 species
GAUGAACGCUAGCGGCAGGCCUAAUACAUGCAAGUCGGACGGGAUUUGGGAGCUUGCUCCUAAUGAGAGUGGCGCACGGGUGCGUAACACGUAUGUAACCUACCUUAAUCAGGGGGAUAGCCUCUCGAAGGAGAGAUUAACACCGCAUAAUAUAUUUUUAUGGCAUCGUAGAAAUGUCAAAUCUUUAUAGGAUUAAGAUGGGCAUGCGGAACAUUAGCUAGUUGGUAAGGUAACGGCUUACCAAGGCUACGAUGUUUAGGGGAUCUGAGAGGAUGACCCCCCACACUGGUACUGAGACACGGACCAGACUCCUACGGGAGGCAGCAGUAAGGAAUAUUGGUCAAUGGGCGCAAGCCUGAACCAGCCAUGCCGCGUGCAGGAAGACGGCCCUAUGGGUUGUAAACUGCUUUUGUACCGGAAUAAACCCUUUUACGUGUAAGAGGCUGAAUGUACGGUAAGAAUAAGGAUCGGCUAACUCCGUGCCAGCCGCCGCAGUAA